rnacentral:rRNA from 4 species
GGGUUGUGAGGUUAAGCGACUAAGCGUACACGGUGGAUGCCCUGGCAGUCAGAGGCGAUGAAGGACGUGCUAAUCUGCGAUAAGCGUCGGUAAGGUGAUAUGAACCGUUAUAACCGGCGAUUUCCGAAUGGGGAAACCCAGUGUGUUUCGACACACUAUCAUUAACUGAAUCCAUAGGUUAAUGAGGCGAACCGGGGGAACUGAAACAUCUAAGUACCCCGAGGAAAAGAAAUCAACCGAGAUUCCCCCAGUAGCGGCGAGCGAACGGGGAG